CUCCUUCAAUAAAAAACAAUAAUUCACAUUAAAACCAAUAACAAUAAAUUCACAAUAAUACAAAUUCACAAUUUACUCAAUGUUAAACAACCCUGUUUUUUCAAUAAAGGCGAAAUAACAUUGCGGCGAAAUCAAAAUGGAGUCAAAAAAAAUGGCGACGAAGGCAAAGACGUCUUGUAAAUAUUAAACAAGAAAAAGUGUAUUUAUGUGAAAAUUAAUAACUUUUUCGUGUAAAAACUAAUAAAAAACGAAUUAUUUAAGAGUGUUAAUGAUAAAGAAACGUUAAAAAAUCACAACUAUUAACUAAAAUAUAGAAAUAUUACGGCGGCAAAAUUUUCAUUCUUUCGUGGUAAAAUUUUUCGGUAGGAAAAAAAGAAACGUCGAAUAAAACUGAAAAGAAACCACAUAAUAAAAAAGUUUGCAAUAAACUGAAAUUGAAAAACGUGUAAUACUAAUUAUGAGAAAUAUAUAAUAAAACAUAGUGCAAGGAUAUUACUAGCAUUUUUUAAUAAAUUAAUAUAAAUUAUUUGUAUAUAAUACAAAUAUCUUAUGUGAAAAAAGCAAAAAACGAAAAGAAAAGAAGAAAUAGAUAUAAAGAAGUGGAAUGGGAGAAUGAGUGUGUGUUUUCAAAUAUCGUUUCUUCGUUGUUCGUCUUGAGUAGUGAGUGAGUUCUGUCGUUUUUUUAAUUUUAAAUUGUAUAUAAAACGAAAAGAUAAAUAUCUCAAAGAUGCAAAAUUGUAUAUUUUUUAAAUGGGUUAAUAUAUUGUAAUAAACAAGAGUAAAUAAUGCAUUGGGGUUUGAGACUUGACUUUCAUAAGAGACAUCUAUCAGCAACAAUGACAAUUAGACAAAUGUGCGGCGAAGAAAAA